CAGAGCCGCGGUAAUACGGAGGGUGCAAGCGUUAUCCGGAUUUAUUGGGCGUAAAGCGUGCGUAGGCGGCUUCUUAAGUCGGAUGUGAAAUCCCUGAGCUUAACUUAGGAAUUGCAUUCGAUACUGGGAAGCUAGAGUAUGGGAGAGGAUGGUAGAAUUCCAGGUGUAGCGGUGAAAUGCGUAGAGAUCUGGAGGAAUACCGAUGGCGAAGGCAGCCAUCUGGCCUAAUACUGACGCUGAGGUACGAAAGCAUGGGGAGCAAACAGGAUUAGAUACCCGAGUAGUCCCUGUCUCUUAUACA
rnacentral:rRNA from 1 species